rnacentral:rRNA from 1 species
UACGGAGGAUGCGAGCGUUAUCCGGAUUUAUUGGGUUUAAAGGGUGCGUAGGCGGACUGUCAAGUCAGCGGUAAAAUUGAGAGGCUCAACCUCUUCCCGCCGUUGAAACUGGUGGUCUUGAGUGGAUGAGAAGUACGCGGAAUGCGUGGUGUAGCGGUGAAAUGCAUAGAUAUCGCGCAGAACUCCGAUUGCGAAGGCAGCGUACCGGCAUCCAACUGACGCUGAGGCACGAAAGCGUGGGGAUCAAACAGG